GUUUGAGACAGUGAUGUUGAGCCGGGUUUGAGACAGUGAUGUUGAGCUGGGUUUGAGACAGUGAUGUUGAGGUGGGUUUGAGACAGUGAUGUUGAGGCGGGUUUGAGACAGUGAUGUUGAGGUGGGUUUGAGACAGUGAUGUUGAGGUGGGUUUGAGACAGUGAUGUUGAGGUGGGUUUGAAACAGUGUUGUUGAGGUGGGUUUGAGACAGCGAUGUCGAGGUGGGUUUGAAACAGUGUUGUUGAGGUGGGUUUGAGACAGUGAUGUUGAGGCGGGUUUGAGACAGUGAUGUUGAGGUGGGUUUGAGACAGUGAUGUUGAGGUGGGUUUGAAACAGUGAUGUUGAGGUGGGUUUGAGACAGUGUUGUUGAGGUGGGUUUGAGACAGUGAUGUUGAGGCGGGUUUGAGACAGUGAUGUUGAGGCGGGUUUGAGACAGUGAUGUUGAGGUGGGUUUGAGACAGUGAUGUUGAGGUGGGUUUGAAACAGUGAUGUUGAGGUGGGUUUGAGACAGUGAUGUUGAGGUGGGUUUGAGACAGUGAUGUUGAGGUGGGUUUGAAACAGUGUUGUUGAGGUGGGUUUGAGACAGCGAUGUCGAGGUGGGUUUGAAACAGUGUUGUUGAGGUGGGUUUGAGACAGUGAUGUUGAGGCGGGUUUGAGACAGUGAUGUUGAGGUGGGUUUGAGACAGUGAUGUCGAGGUGGGUUUGAGACAGUGAUGUUGAGGUGAGUUUGAGACAGUGAUGUUGAGGUGGGUUUGAGACAGUGAUGUUGAGGUGGGUUUGAGACAGUGUUGUUGAGGUGGGUUUGAGACAGUGAUGUUGAGGUGGGUUUGAGACAGCGUCGUUGAGGUGGGUUUGAGACAGUGAUGUUGAGGUGGGUUUGAGACAGCGUCGUUGAGGUGGGUUUGAGACAGUGAUGUUGAGGUGGGUUUGAGACAGUGACGUCGAGGUGGGUUUAAGACAGCGUUGUUGAGGUGGGUUUGAGACAGUGACGUCGAGGUGGGUUUAAGACAGCGUUGUUGAGGUGGGUUUGAGACAGCGUCGUUGAGGUGGGUUUGAGACAGUGACGUCGAGGUGGGUUUGAGACAGUGUUGUUGAGGUGGGUUUGAGACAGCGUUGUUGAGGUGGGUUUGAGACAGUGUUGUUGAGGUGGGUUUGAGACAGUGAUGUUGAGGUGGGUUUGAGACAGCGUCGUUGAGGUGGGUUUGAGACAGUGACGUCGAGGUGGGUUUGAGACAGUGACGUCGAGGUGGGUUUGAGACAGAGUUGUUGAGGUGGGUUUGAGACAGUGUUGUUGAGGUGGGUUUGAGACAGAGUUGUUGAGGUGGGUUUGAGACAGUGUUGUUGAGGUGGGUUUGAGACAGAGUUGUUGAGGUGGGUUUGAGACAGUGUUGUUGAGGUGGGUUUGAGACAGAGUUGUUGAGGUGGGUUUGAGACAGAGUUGUUGAGGUGGGUUUGAGACAGUGUUGUUGAGGUGGGUUUGAGACAGAGUUGUUGAGGUGGGUUUGAGUGGUUUUGUAUGAAGAUGAGCAUAAGAGUGAUGAAGAUAGUACAUGUGAUGGAUGUGCCUAAUCCACUUCAUAAACCUUUGAUAUGGAUAGGAUGCAACUUUGUUAUUCAGACAGCCUUACUGGAACUGCACAGAGCAAAGCAAUUACACUGUGCUGUUGAGGGAACAUCCCUAAUGGGCUUCCUCAGCCAUUAAGCCUUUUCUGCAUUUAACUACCAGUAUACAAAAGAUAAAAUCACUGCAUGGCAUUGUUUGUCAAUAGAAUGACAAGUUCACUAUUUAAACAGAAAAAGACUGGCACCCAGGCUACAUGUUUCAUUAUUUGCAAACACGUUUUACGUUCCACGCUGGAAAACAAACACGUUUUACAUUCCACGUUGGAAAACAAACACGUUUUACAUUCCACACUGGAAAACAAACACGUUUUACAUUCCACGUUGGAAAACAAACACGUUUUACAUUCCACACUGGAAAACAAACACGUUUUACA
rnacentral:lncRNA from 1 species